AUAAAAUUUUUUCGAAAGGAAGAAAAAUCUGUUCUUAUCAGUUUAAUAUCUGAUACAUCCUCCAUUCGAGGACUUUAUAUUAAACGGAUUUUUAGAGCGAGGGGCUUGCUCUGUCCGCUUCACGCAUCGACCUGGUAUUGCAGUACCUCCAGAAAUGGUGCACCUUUU
ensembl:snRNA U2 U2 spliceosomal RNA